CCUACGGGCGGCUGCAGUGAGGAAUAUUGGUCAAUGGACGAGAGUCUGAACCAGCCAAGUAGCGUGAAGGAUGACUGCCCUAUGGGUUGUAAACUUCUUUUAUAUGGGAAUAAAAUGUUCCACGUGUGGGAUUUUGUAUGUACCAUAUGAAUAAGGAUCGGCUAACUCCGUGCCAGCAGCCGCGGUAAUACGGAGGAUCCGAGCGUUAUCCGGAUUUAUUGGGUUUAAAGGGAGCGUAGGUGGAUUGUUAAGUCAGUUGUGAAAGUUUGCGGCUCAACCGUAAAAUUGCAGUUGAAACUGGCAGUCUUGAGUACAGUAGAGGUGGGCGGAAUGCGUGGUGUAGCGGUGAAAUGCUUAGAUAUCACGAAGAACUCCGAUUGCGAAGGCAGUUCACUGGACUGCAACUGACACUGAGGCUCGAAAGUGUGGGUAUCAAACAGGAUAAGAUACCCGGGUAGUC
rnacentral:rRNA from 1 species